AGUAGAGUAAGCUAAAUAAGCUCUUGGGCCCAUACCCCAACUAUGCAGGUUAAAACCCUGCCUA
rnacentral:tRNA from 1 species